AGCGAACGCUGGCGGCAGGCUUAACACAUGCAAGUCGAGCGCCCGUAGCAAUACGGGAGCGGCAGACGGGAGAGUAACACGUGGGAACGUACCCUUUGGUUCGGAACAACACAGGGAAACUUGUGCUAAUACCGGAUAAGCCCUUACGGGGAAAGAUUUAUCGCCGAAGGAUCGGCCCGCGUCUGAUUAGCUAGUUGGUGGGGUAAUGGCUCACCAAGGCGACGAUCAGUAGCUGGUCNGAGAGGAUGACCAGCCUCAUUGGGACUGAGACACGGCCCAAACUCCUACGGGAGGCAGUAGUGGGGAAUAUUGGACAAUGGGCGCAAGCCUGAUCCAGCCAUGCCGCGUGGGUGAUGAAGGCCCUAGGGUUGUAAAGCCCUUUCGGCGGGAAGAUAAUGACGGUACCCGCAGAAGAAGCCCCGGCUAACUUCGUGCCAG
rnacentral:rRNA from 1 species